UUUUGGUAGUUUGAUUGGACG
rnacentral:miRNA from 1 species